GACGAACGCUGGCGGCGUGCCUAAUACAUGCAAGUAGAACGCUGAAGGAGGAGCUUGCUUCUCCGGAUGAGUUGCGAACGGGUGAGUAACGCGUAGGUAACCUGCCUGGUAGCGGGGGAUAACUAUUGGAAACGAUAGCUAAUACCGCAUAAGAGUAGAUGUCGCAUGACAUUUGCUUAAAAGGUGCAACUGCACCACUACCAGAUGGACCUGCGUUGUAUUAGCUAGUUGGUGAGGUAACGUCUCACCAAGGCAACGAUACAUAGCCGACCUGAGAGGGGGAUCGGCCACACUGGGACUGAGACACGGCCCAGACUCCUACGGGAGGCAGCAGUAGGGAAUCUUCGGCAAUGGACGGAAGUCUGACCGAGCAACGCCGCGUGAGUGAAGAAGGUUUUCGGAUCGUAAAGCUCUGUUGUAAGAGAAGAACGAGUGUGAGAGUGGAAAGUUCACACUGUGACGGUAUCUUACCAGAAAGGGACGGCUAACUACGUG
rnacentral:rRNA from 1 species